CUCGUAGGCGGUUCGUCGCGUCCGGUGUGAAAGUCCAUCGCUUAACGGUGGAUCUGCGCCGGGUACGGGCGGGCUGGAGUGCGGUAGGGGAGACUGGAAUUCCCGGUGUAACGGUGGAAUGUGUAGAUAUCGGGAAGAACACCAGUGGCGAAGGCGGCUUUCUGGACUGUAACUGACGCUGAGGCUCGAAAGCUAGGGUAGCGAACG
rnacentral:rRNA from 1 species